CUUAUCACCGUCUACUGGUACUGCAAAAUGAUUGAAAAAAUUAUUAAAACUAUUGAACAUGAUGCAACUAUUACCCUAGACCCUUUGCCCAUCCCCCACCAGCUCAAAGUCCUCAACAAUCACCCUACCCCAUGGCAAUCGCGAUGUCCUUCGUCUCGGUGCAUUGCACCGACAGGAAGCAGCAGGAAGUCAACACCAGGCCGCGAAGAGAGAGUAACUCGAUCCCCAUCACCUCCUCACAAACAACAGAACAAAACCAAUUGUAGGUCACUCGACAUCCACGCGAAGCGGAAGGGGGAGGGGAUCCUGGUGGGGCUUUACCCUUCUGCCUGUUGCUGGUGGCUACCAGCUAACUGGACAUGGAGACGGUGCACCAGUCUCUUUCUCCUGCAGGCUCGAUCCACAGGUGAUAGAAUUAAUCCUCUCGUUCGAUUAAAAAAAAUGAGUAAAAAUAAAUGAAAAAAGUUAAAUAAUAACAAACAUAAAAAAGCGGGACAGCCGGGUUUUCAUCUCCAAUGUCCUCAUCGAAAUGAAAAUUGAAUAUCAAUAAUGUAAACAAUUGAUAGUAAUAAUAUGAUUUAUUAAAUAUAUGGGCGUUAUUGUGCUGGUGCACAUGUGCUGUUGUGACGUUUCAAGUGUCAGUGUCAAGGGAGAGAUAAAAUUGGAGUAAAUGAAAAAAUAGCUGGAGAUUUUUUUUUUGGAGCUCAUGAAGACAUUUGAUGCAGCUUGAUUGAUCGCUAUGGUACUGCCUACCUUGGUACUGUGUUAAUAGUUAGAUUGUUAACGACA